rnacentral:rRNA from 1 species
UACGGAGGGUGCAAGCGUUGUUCGGAAUUACUGGGCGUAAAGCGCGUGUAGGCGGCUUCUUAAGUCUGAUGUGAAAGCCCGGGGCUCACCCCCGGAAGUGCAUUGGAAACUGGGGAGCUUGAGUACCGGAGAGGAUGGUGGAAUUCCUGGUGUAGCGGUGAAAUGCGUAGAUAUCAGGAGGAACACCGGUGGCGAAGGCGGCCAUCUGGACGGAUACUGACGCUGAGAAGCGAAAGCGUGGGGAGCAAACAGG